rnacentral:rRNA from 1 species
AGCGAACGCUGGCGGCAGGCUUAACACAUGCAAGUCGAGCGGGCAUCCUUGUGGUGUCAGCGGCAGACGGGUGAGUAACGCGUGGGAACGUGCCCUUCGGUUCGGAAUAACUCAGGGAAACUUGAGCUAAUACCGGAUACGUGCGAGAGCAGAAAGGUUUAUCUGCCGAAGGAUCGGCCCGCGUCUGAUUAGCUAGUUGGUGAGGUUAUGGCUCACCAAGGCGACGAUCAGUAGCUGGUCUGAGAGGAUGAUCAGCCACACUGGGACUGAGACACGGCCCAGACUCCUACGGGAGGCAGCAGUGGGGAAUAUUGGACAAUGGGGGCAACCCUGAUCCGGCCAUGCCGCGUGAGUGAUGACGGCCUUAGGGUUGUAAAGCUCUUUUCUCCGGGACGAUAAUGACGGUACCGGAGGAAUAAGCCCCGGCUAACUUCGUG